UCGCGGGUACCAGCCGGCAAUACGGCUAUCAGCCGGGCGUGUCUGUAGUAGUAUACUAUAGUAUACUACAGACACGCCCGGCUGAUAGCCGUAUUGCCGGCUGGUAGCCAGUAUACUA
rnacentral:pre_miRNA from 1 species